GCCCAGACUCCUACGGGAGGCAGCAGUGAGGAAUAUUGGUCAAUGGGCUUACGCCUGAACCAGCCAAGUCGCGUGAGGGAAGACUGCCCUAUGGGUUGUAAACCUCUUUUGUCAGGGAGCAAUUGGCGCUACGUGUAGCGUUAUCGAGAGUACCUGAAGAAAAAGCAUCGGCUAACUCCGUGCCAGCAGCCGCGGUAAUACGGAGGAUGCGAGCGUUAUCCGGAUUUAUUGGGUUUAAAGGGUGCGUAGGCGGAAUGCCAAGUCAGCGGUAAAAUUUCGGGGCUCAACCCCGUCGUGCCGUUGAAACUGGCGUUCUUGGGUGAGCGAGAAGUAUGCGGAAUGCGCGGUGUAGCGGUGAAAUGCAUAGAUAUCGCGCAGAACUCCGAUUGCGAAGGCAGCAUGCCGGCUCCACACUGACGCUGAGGCACGAAAGCGUGGGUAUCGAACAGGAUUAGAUACCCCAGUAA
rnacentral:rRNA from 1 species